AAAUUGAAGAGUUUGAUCAUGGCUCAGAUUGAACGCUGGCGGCAGGCCUAACACAUGCAAGUCGAACGGUAGCACAGAGGAGCUUGCUCCUCGGGUGACGAGUGGCGGACGGGUGAGUAAUGUCUGGGAAACUGCCCGAUGGAGGGGGAUAACUACUGGAAACGGUAGCUAAUACCGCAUAACGUCGCAAGACCAAAGAGGGGGACCUUCGGGCCUCUUGCCAUCGGAUGUGCCCAGAUGGGAUUAGCUAGUAGGUGGGGUAAUGGCUCACCUAGGCGACGAUCCCUAGCUGGUCUGAGAGGAUGACCAGCCACACUGGAACUGAGACACGGUCCAGACUCCUACGGGAGGCAGCAGUGGGGAAUAUUGCACAAUGGGCGCAA
rnacentral:rRNA from 1 species